UACAGGGGGUGCUAGCGUUGUUCGGAAUUACUGGGCGUAAAGGGCGCGUAGGCGGUCUUACAAGUCAGGGGUGAAAUACCGGAGCUUAACUUCGGAAUUGCUUUUGAUACUGUAAGGCUAGAGUAUGUUAGAGGAUGGCGGAAUUCCUAGUGUAGAAGUGAAAUUCGUAGAUAUUAGGAAGAACACCGGUGGCGAAGGCGGCCAUCUGGGACAUAACUGACGCUGAGGCGCGAAAGCGUGGGGAUCAAACAGG
rnacentral:rRNA from 1 species